rnacentral:rRNA from 1 species
AGUAGGGAAUCUUCCGCAAUGGACGAAAGUCUGACGGAGCAACGCCGCGUGAGUGAUGAAGGUUUUCGGAUCGUAAAACUCUGUUGUUAGGGAAGAACAAGUAGUAUUCGAAUAGGAUGCUACCUUGACGGUACCUAAUUAGAAAGCCACGGCUAACUACGUGCCAGCAGCCGCGGUAAUACGUAGGUGGCAAGCGUUAUCCGGAAUUAUUGGGCGUAAAGCGCGCGCAGGCGGUCUUUUAAGUCUGAUGUUAAAGCCCACGGCUCAACCGUGGUUCGCAUUGGAAACUGGGAGACUUGAGUACUGAAGAGGAAAGUGGAAUACCACGUGUAGCGGUGAAAUGCGUAGAGAUGUGGUGGAACACCAGUGGCGAAGGCGACUUUCUGGUCAGUAACUGACGCUGAGGCGCGAAAGCGUGGGGAGCAAA